rnacentral:rRNA from 1 species
UCCAGACUCCUACGGGAGGCAGCAGUGGGGGAUAUUGCACAAUGGGGGAAACCCUGAUGCAGCGACGCCGCGUGAGUGAAGAAGUAUUUCGGUAUGUAAAGCUCUAUCAGCAGGGAAGAAAAAAGACGGUACCUGACUAAGAAGCCCCGGCUAACUACGUGCCAGCAGCCGCGGUAAUACGUAGGGGGCAAGCGUUAUCCGGAUUUACUGGGUGUAAAGGGAGCGUAGACGGCAAUACAAGUCGGAAGUGAAAUACCCGGGCUCAACCUGGGAACUGCUUUGGAAACUGUAUGGCUGGAGUGCUGGAGAGGUAAGCGGAAUUCCUAGUGUAGCGGUGAAAUGCGUAGAUAUUAGGAGGAACACCAGUGGCGAAGGCGGCUUACUGGACAGUAACUGACGUUGAGGCUCGAAAGCGUGGGGAGCAAACAGGAUUAGAUACCCCCGUAUA